rnacentral:rRNA from 1 species
UACGAAGGGGGCUAGCGUUGCUCGGAAUCACUGGGCGUAAAGCGCACGUAGGCGGAUCUUUAAGUCAGGGGUGAAAUCCUGGAGCUCAACUCCAGAACUGCCUUUGAUACUGGGGAUCUCGAGUCCGGAAGAGGUGAGUGGAACUCCGAGUGUAGAGGUGAAAUUCGUAGAUAUUCGGAAGAACACCAGUGGCGAAGGCGGCUCACUGGUCCGGUACUGACGCUGAGGCACGAAAGCUAGGGGAGCAAACAGG